rnacentral:piRNA from 1 species
UGAGGUUCCCCACUCUUUGAAGCUUC